AGUGGCGGUGAAUUUGGCUACUGCACUCGAGCCUCCAGGCGCAGAGUUGGGUAGAAACGGGUAAGAUUCUGGUGGUGGCAUCUGACAUUCGUCGCCAUUGAAGUAUACUUUUCUAGGAAAUGCCCAACCCUGCUUGAAGCCACAGGCGCAGGUUGGGCAAGAAGUGAUCGUCUCAUUAUAGAAAGUUGAAAGUGAUACGCAGCAAGUUGGGUUCUUAGAGGCCAGAAAUUGUGAGUAAGUACAGGUUACAUUCCAUGUCACUGCAUUAGAUGGAGCAUGAAUCAACUAAACGAGGAUGAAAAAAAAAAAAAAAAAAAAAAAAAAAAA